UACGGGGGGGGUAAGCGUUGUUCGGAAUUACUGGGCGUAAAGAGCUCGUAGGCGGCUUGUCACGUCGGGUGUGAAAGCCCGGGGCUUAACCCCGGGUCUGCAUUCGAUACGGGCUAGCUAGAGUGUGGUAGGGGAGAUCGGAAUUCCUGGUGUAGCGGUGAAAUGCGCAGAUAUCAGGAGGAACACCGGUGGCGAAGGCGGGUCUCUGGACAGUUCCUGACACUGAGGCACGAAGGCCAGGGGAGCAAACGGG
rnacentral:rRNA from 1 species